rnacentral:pre_miRNA from 1 species
CGAGGUGUUGCACAGUUAAUAUUGUACCUUAAAGCAAUAUUUUCUGUGUGAACCUCGGA